rnacentral:tRNA from 1 species
GGAGGGGUGGCAGAGCGGUUGAAUGCACCGGUCUUGAAAACCGGCGUAGGUUAAUAGCCUACCCAGGGUUCGAAUCCCUGCCCCUCCG